UCAGUUGUGAAAGUUUGCGGCUCAACCGUAAAAUUGCAGUUGAUACUGGGUACCUUGAGUGCAGCAUAGGUAGGCGGAAUUCGUGGUGUAGCGGUGAAAUGCUUAGAUAUCACGAAGAACUCCGAUUGCGAAGGCAGCUUACUGGACUGUAACUGACGCUGAUGCUCGAAAGUGUGGGUAUCAAACAGGAUUAGAUACCCUGGUAGUCCACACAGUAAACGAUGAAUACUCGCUGUUGGCGAUACACAGUCGGCGGCCAAGCGAAAGCAUUAAGUAUUCCACCUGGGGAGUACGCCGGCAACGGUGAAACUCAAAGGAAUUGACGGGGGCCCGCACAAGCGGAGGAACAUGUGGUUUAAUUCGAUGAUACGCGAG
rnacentral:rRNA from 1 species